rnacentral:rRNA from 1 species
GACGAACGCUGGCGGCGUGCUUAACACAUGCAAGUCGAACGGUGACGGAGAGCUUGCUCUCCUGAUCAGUGGCGAACGGGUGAGUAACACGUGGGCAACCUGCCCCAGACUUCGGGAUAACGCUUCGAAAGAGGUGCUAAUACCGGAUACGAACUUCCCUGGCAUCUGGGAAGUUGGAAAGUUUUUCGGUCUGGGAUGGGCCCGCGGCCUAUCAGCUUGUUGGUGAGGUAAUGGCUCACCAAGGCGACGACGGGUAGCCGGCCUGAGAGGGCGACCGGCCACACUGGGACUGAGACACGGCCCAGACUCCUACGGGAGGCAGCAGUGGGGAAUAUUGCGCAAUGGGCGAAAGCCUGACGCAGCAACGCCGCGUGAGGGAUGACGG